UGUUUCCAUUUGUGAACAACAUAUAUGUGUGUAUGAAUAAAAUUUAUAAAUGGACAUAACCUUAUACACAAGAUUUAAAAUAACCCCUGGGCACAUGUGGGCCCAACCCAGAGAUAGCCCUUCCUGAAAUGACUGGAGCCAAGAGCCUGUCACGCUCGCGGUAUUCAGUGCAAGGUCUGAUCGCGUCUUCUGUCACUCAAGGCCUGAGGGCGCGGAGCCUGGAGCUCUAUCCAUUAAGGGCGCUGGGGUGGGAACUGUCCAAUCAGGUUCACAGUCAGAGAGGAAGGGGUGGCUCCCGGUACCUGGCGGGGCCUUUGUCUCUUGCUCCAGCCAGAGCUCGAGGUUAGCUCUUCACUGCCCUGUGUCUUCUUUCCAAGGGUCUCGGUGAUUCGGCCACAGCCUCAGCCUCCAUCACGCGGUGAACUGAUGGUGCUGGAAGAUUCAUAGACUCCAGGACAUUCCUGAAGCCGAGAAAAGGUUAAGUAGGGUCUGGCCUGGAAUACUCUCCUAGAUGAAGAUAGCCCAACCAUGAGCCACCUUCGAAGCAGAUGAGAUGAAAUUAAAGCUCUUCAACUCCUAAAGGCCCAGAGACUAUCACAAAAGAGGUCAGAAAUCCUGAAGGUCACUUUCUGACAAACUCAGGAACCCCAGGUUUAUCUUGGAGCCUCAAGAGGAGAUAAAUUCACCCAACUCAGAGUUUUGCUCUUGGUGCCCAGGCUGGAGUGCAUUGGCACGAUC
rnacentral:lncRNA from 1 species